rnacentral:rRNA from 1 species
AGAGUUUGAUCCUGGCUCAGGAUGAACGCUGGCGGCGUGCCUAACACAUGCAAGUUGAGCGAUUUACUUCGGUAAAGAGCGGCGGACGGGUGAGUAACGCGUGGGUAACCUACCCUGUACACACGGAUAACAUACCGAAAGGUAUGCUAAUACGGGAUAACAUAUUUGAGAGGCAUCUCUUAAAUAUCAAAGGUGAGCCAGUACAGGAUGGACCCGCGUCUGAUUAGCUAGUUGGUAAGGUAACGGCUUACCAAGGCGACGAUCAGUAGCCGACCUGAGAGGGUGAUCGGCCACAUUGGAACUGAGACACGGUCCAAACUCCUACGGGAGGCAGCAGUGGGGAAUAUUGCACAAUGGGCGAAAGCCUGAUGCAGCAACGCCGCGUGAGUGAUGAAGGCCUUCGGGUCGUAAAACUCUGUCCUCAAGGAAGAUAAUGACGGUACUUGAGGAGGAAGCCCCGGCUAACUACGUGCCAGCAGCCGCGGUAAUACGUAGGGGGCUAGCGUUAUCCGGAUUUACUGGGCGUAAAGGGUGCGUAGGCGGUCUUUCAAGUCAGGAGUGAAAGGCUACGGCUCAACCGUAGUAAGCUCUUGAAACUGGGAGACUUGAGUGCAGGAGAGGAGAGUGGAAUUCCUAGUGUAGCGGUGAAAUGCGUAGAUAUUAGGAGGAACACCAGUUGCGAAGGCGGCUCUCUGGACUGUAACUGACGCUGAGGCACGAAAGCGUGGGGAGCAAACAGGAUUAGAUACCCUGGUAGUCCACGCUGUAAACGAUGAGUACUAGGUGUCGGGGGUUACCCCCCU